UACGAAGGGGGCUAGCGUUGCUCGGAAUGACUGGGCGUAAAGGGCGCGUAGGCGGCUUGCACCGUCAGAUGUGAAAUUCCUGGGCUUAACCUGGGGGCUGCAUUUGAUACGUGUGGGCUUGAGUGCGGAAGAGGGUCGUGGAAUUCCCAGUGUAGAGGUGAAAUUCGUAGAUAUUGGGAGGAACACCUGUGGCGAAAGCGGCGCACUGGACCACAACUGACGCUGAGGCGCGAAAGCUAGGGGAGCAAACAGG
rnacentral:rRNA from 1 species